AAUACCCACCUGAUUCUACUUCCUCUUGUGUCCUGGGAUGGCUCCUGAGGGCAGCAUGGUGCCUAUUGACAAAGCCCAGCAGGAGAAAUCUUUACUACCGGAGGCUAUGACAGUGGUGUGAAUGGACUCACAGGGCCUAACAGAAGCAGAAGUAGCAGCACCACUGCUCCAGUCAGAGAAAGAAGAAAGACGACAAUUUUAGGAGGAUGAUAGGACAGCCCUAGUGUGAGAGACACCAUGUCAGCUUGCGGUACACAGAUUCUUCACCUAUUCCCCGGGCAGCGCUGGGCCCCGCACCAUUGUCCUAGCUGAAAUGCUUCCUGAGGGGCGAGGGAAGCCUUGUGAAUCAUCAGCAGAGUGCUUCCAGCUUACACAGAGGGCUUCAGAAUGCCAAGUGUUCUGUGUGGGCUCUCGAGAUGAAAAACUUAAAUUUGUCACACUGAAUCGUGGAUUUUUCAAUGCUUAUUAAAAGCUCCCUUUCUUGUGUAUUAAAGUUUGCUCCUUUCCACGCUC